CACGUAGGGCGCAAGCGUUGUCCGGAAUUAUUGGGCGUAAAGAGCUCGUAGGUGGUUUGUUACGUCUGCUGUGAAAACCUAGGGCUUAACCCUGGGCUUGCAGUGGAUACGGGCAGACUAGAGGUAGGUAGGGGAGAAUGGAAUUCCCGGUGUAGCGGUGAAAUGCGCAGAUAUCGGGAGGAACACCAAUGGCGAAGGCAGCUCGCUGGGACGUUACUGACGCUGAGACGCGAAAGCGUGGGGAGCAAACAGG
rnacentral:rRNA from 1 species